UGGGGAAUAUUGCACAAUGGGGGAAACCCUGAUGCAGCGACGCCGCGUGAAGGAAGAAGUAUUUCGGUAUGUAAACUUCUAUCAGCAGGGAAGAAAAUGACGGUACCUGAGUAAGAAGCCCCGGCUAACUACGUGCCAGCAGCCGCGGUAAUACGUAGGGGGCAAGCGUUAUCCGGAAUUACUGGGUGUAAAGGGAGCGUAGACGGUGAAGUAAGUCUGGAGUGAAAGGCGGGGGCCCAACCCCCGGACUGCUCUGGAAACUAUUUGACUGGAGUGCAGGAGAGGUAAGCGGAAUUCCUAGUGUAGCGGUGAAAUGCGUAGAUAUCACGCAGAACUCCGAUUGCGAAGGCAGCGUACCGGCGCCCAACUGACGCUGAAGCACGAAGGCGUGGGUAUCGAACAGG
rnacentral:rRNA from 1 species